ACUCAAAUGAAUUGACGGGGGCCCGCACAAGCGGUGGAGUAUGUGGUUUAAUUCGAAGCAACGCGCAGAACCUUACCUAGGCUUGACAUCCACUGACCCCUACAGAGAUGUAGGUUUCCCUUCGGGGACAGUGAGACAGGUGCUGCAUGGCUGUCGUCAGCUCGUGUCGUAAGAUGUUGGGUUAAGUCCCGCAACGAGCGCAACCCUUGUCCUUAGUUGCCACCAUUAAGUUGGGCACUCUGAGGAGACUGCCGGUGUUAAACCGGAGGAAGGCGGGGAUGACGUCAAGUCCUCAUGGCCCCUACGUCUAGGGCUACACACGUACUACAAUGGCAGAGACAAAGCGUCGCGAAGCCGCGAGGUGGAGCUAAUCGCAAAAACACUGUCUCAGUCCGGAUUGAAGUCUGCAACUCGACUUCAUGAAGCUGGAAUCGCUAGUAAUCGGAGAUCAGCACGCUCCGGUGAAUACGUUCCCGGGCCUUGUACACACCGCCCGU
rnacentral:rRNA from 1 species